GAUGAACGCUGGCGGCGUGCCUAAUACAUGCAAGUCGAGCGAACAGACGAGGAGCUUGCUCCUCUGACGUUAGCGGCGGACGGGUGAGUAACACGUGGAUAACCUACCUAUAAGACUGGGAUAACUUCGGGAAACCGGAGCUAAUACCGGAUAAUAUAUUGAACCGCAUGGUUCAAUAGUGAAAGACGGUUUUGCUGUCACUUAUAGAUGGAUCCGCGCCGCAUUAGCUAGUUGGUAAGGUAACGGCUUACCAAGGCAACGAUGCGUAGCCGACCUGAGAGGGUAAUCGCCCAAACUGGAACUAGGAAAAGGUCCAACCACACACGGGAGGCAGCGGGGGGAAAACUUCCGGAAGGGGGGAAAGCCUGCGGGAGCAACCCGGGGGAAAAGAUGAAGGUUUUCGGAUCGUAAAACUUUUUUAUUAGGGAAAAAAAAAUGUGUAAGUAACGAUGCACGUCUGGACGGUACCAAAGAAAAAAGCCACGGCAAACUACGG
rnacentral:rRNA from 1 species